rnacentral:rRNA from 1 species
CCUACGGGGGGCUGCAGUGAGGAAUAUUGGUCAAUGGGCGCGAGCCUGAACCAGCCAAGUCGCGUGAGGGAUGACGGUCCUACGGAUUGUAAACCUCUUUUGCCGGGGAGCAAGCGUGCGUUCGUGAACGCGCGUCGAGAGUACCCGGAGAAAAAGCAUCGGCUAACUCCGUGCCAGCAGCCGCGGUAAUACGGAGGAUGCGAGCGUUAAUCGGAAUUACUGGGCGUAAAGCGCUCGUAGGCGGUAUGUCAAGUCAAGGGUGAAAUCCCCGCGCUCAACGUGGGAACUGCCUUUGAAACUGGCAAACUGGAGUGUGUGAGAGGAUAGUGGAAUUCCAGGUGUAGGAGUGAAAUCCGUAGAUAUCUGGAGGAACAUCAGUGGCGAAGGCGACUAUCUGGCACAUAACUGACGCUGAGGAGCGAAAGCGUGGGUAGCAAACAGGAUUAGAUACCCGAGUAGUC